CCUUAGAGUUUGAUCCUGGCUCAGGACGAACGCUGGCGGCGCGCCUAACACAUGCAAGUCGAACGAGAGAGGAAGAGCUUGCUUUUCCGAUCGAGUGGCGAACGGGUGAGUAACGCGUGAGGAACCUGCCUCAAAGAGGGGGACAACAGUUGGAAACGACUGCUAAUACCGCAUAAGCCCACGGCUCGGCAUCGAGCAGAGGGAAAAGGAGCAAUCCGCUUUGAGAUGGCCUCGCGUCCGAUUAGCUAGUUGGUGAGGUAACGGCCCACCAAGGCAACGAUCGGUAGCCGGACUGAGAGGUUGAACGGCCACAUUGGGACUGAGACACGGCCCAGACUCCUACGGGAGGCAGCAGUGGGGAAUAUUGCACAAUGGGGGAAACCCUGAUGCAGCGACGCCGCGUGGAGGAAGAAGGUCUUCGGAUUGUAAACUCCUGUUGUUGGGGAAGAUAAUGACGGUACCCAACAAGGAAGUGACGGCUAACUACGUGCCAGCAGCCGCGGUAAAACGUAGGUCACAAGCGUUGUCCGGAAUUACUGGGUGUAAAGGGAGCGCAGGCGGGAAGACAAGUUGGAAGUGAAAUCUAUGGGCUCAACCCAUAAACUGCUUUCAAAACUGUUUUUCUUGAGUAGUGCAGAGGUAGGCGGAAUUCCCGGUGUAGCGGUGGAAUGCGUAGAUAUCGGGAGGAACACCAGUGGCGAAGGCGGCCUACUGGGCACCAACUGACGCUGAGGCUCGAAAGUGUGGGUAGCAAACAGGAUUAGAUACCCUGGUAGUCCACACCGUAAACGAUGAUUACUAGGUGUUGGAGGAUUGACCCCUUCAGUGCCGCAGUUAACACAAUAAGUAAUCCACCUGGGGAGUACGACCGCAAGGUUGAAACUC
rnacentral:rRNA from 1 species